AACGAACGCUGGCGGCAGGCCUAACACAUGCAAGUCGAGCGCCCAGCAAUGGGAGCGGCAGACGGGUGAGUAACGCGUGGGAACCUUCCCAAUGGUACGGAAUAGCUCAGGGAAACUUGAGGUAAUACCGAAUAAGCCCGAAAGGGGAAAGGAUUAUUCGCCAUUGGAUGGGCCCGGCGUAGGAUUAGCUAGUUGGUGAGGUAAUGGCUCACCAAGGCGACGAUCCUUAGCUGGUUUGAGAGAAUGACCAGCCACACUGGGAC
rnacentral:rRNA from 1 species